CCUACGGGAGGCAGCAGUAGGGAAUCUUCGGCAAUGGGCGAAAGCCUGACCGAGCAACGCCGCGUGAAUGAAGAAGGCCUUCGGGUUGUAAAAUUCUGUUAUAAGGGAAGAAAGGUGAUGGGAGGAAAUGACUAUCAAUUGACGGUACCGUAUGAGAAAGCCACGGCUAACUACGUGCCAGCAGCCGCGGUAAUACGUAGGUGGCAAGCGUUAUCCGGAAUUAUUGGGCGUAAAGAGCGCGCAGGUGGAUAAUUAAGGCUGAUGUGAAAGCCCACGGCUUAACCGGGGCGGGUCAUGGGAAACUGGUUUACUUGAGUGCCGAGGAGGGAAGUGGGAU
rnacentral:rRNA from 1 species